GAUGAAGAACGCAGCGAAAUGCGAUAAGUAAUGUGAAUUGCAGAAUUCCGUGAAUCAUCGAAUCUUUGAACGCACAUUGCGCCCCCUGGCAUUCCGGGGGGCAUGCCUGUCCGAGCGUCAUUUCUGCCCUCCAGCCCGGCUGGGUGUUGGGCGCUGUCCCCCCGGGGACACGCCCCAAAGGCAGUGGCGGCGCCGCGUCGGGUCCUCGAGCGUAUGGGGCUUUGUCACCCGCUCGGGACGGACUCGUCGGCGCUGGUCUUCCUCCAGGCGACCCUUCGGGGCUCGUCUUCCUUCGGUUGACCUCGGAUCAGGUAGGGAUACCCGCUGAACUUAAGCAUAUCAAUAAGCGGAGGA
rnacentral:misc_RNA from 1 species